AAUGAACGCUGGCGGCGGGCCUAACACAUGCAAGUCGAACGGUAGCACAGAGAGCUUGCUCUCGGGUGACGAGUGGCGGACGGGUGAGUAAUGUCUGGGAAACUGCCCGAUGGAGGGGGAUAACUACUGGAAACGGUAGCUAAUACCGCAUAACGUCGCAGGACCAAAGUGGGGGACCUUCGGGCCUCACACCAUCGGAUGUGCCCAGAUGGGAUUAGCUAGUAGGUGGGGUAAUGGCUCACCUAGGCGACGAUCCCUAGCUGGUCUGAGAGGAUGACCAGCCACACUGGAACUGAGACACGGCCCAGACUCCUACGGGAGGCAGCAGUGGGGAAUAUUGCACGAUGGGCGCAAGCCUGAUGCAGCCAUGCCGCGUGUAUGAAGAAGGCCUUCGGGUUGUAAAGUACUUUCAGCGGGGAGGAAGGCGGUGAAGUUAAUAACUUCACCGAUUGACGUUACCCGCAGAAGAAGCACCGGCUAACUCCGUGCCAGCCGCCGCCGUAA
rnacentral:rRNA from 1 species